rnacentral:rRNA from 1 species
GAUGAACGCUGGCGGCGUGCUUAACACAUGCAAGUCGAACGAAGCAUUUAAGACAGAUUACUUCGGUUUGAAGUCUUUUAUGACUGAGUGGCGGACGGGUGAGUAACGCGUGGGUAACCUGCCUCAUACAGGGAGAUAGCAGCUGGAAACGGCUGGUAAUACCGCAUAAGCGCACAGUACCACAUGGUACAGUGUGAAAAACUCCGGUGGUAUGAGAUGGACCCGCGUCUGAUUAGCUUGUUGGCGGGGUAACGGCCCACCAAGGCGACGAUCAGUAGCCGACCUGAGAGGGUGACCGGCCACAUUGGGACUGAGACACGGCCCAGACUCCUACGGGAGGCAGCAGUGGGGAAUAUUGCACAAUGGAGGAAACUCUGAUGCAGCGACGCCGCGUGAGUGAAGAAGUAGUUCGCUAUGUAAAGCUCUAUCAGCAAGGAAGAUAGUGACGGUACCUGACUAAGAAGCUCCGGCUAAAUACGUG